rnacentral:rRNA from 1 species
GACGAACGCUGGCGGCGUGCUUAACACAUGCAAGUCGAACGAUGAAACCGGAGCUUGCUCCGGUGGAUUAGUGGCGAACAGGUGAGUAACACGUGAGUAACCUGCCCUUGACUCUGGGAUAACUGCGGGAAACUGUAGCUAACACCGGAUACGACCCUCGGAGGCAUCUCCUGGGGGUGGAAAGAAUUUCGGUCAAGGAUGGACUCGCGGCCUAUCAGCUAGUUGGUGAGGUAACGGCUCACCAAGGCGACGACGGGUAGCCGGCCUGAGAGGGUAACCGGCCACACUGGGACUGAGACACGGCCCAGACUCCUACGGGAGGCAGCAGUGGGGAAUAUUGCACAAUGGGCGCAAGCCUGAUGCAGCAACGCCGCGUGAGGGAUGACGGCCUUCGGGUUGUAAACCUCUUUUAGCAGGGAAGAAGCGAAAGUGACGGUACCUGCAGAAAAAGCACCGGCUAACUACGUGCCAGCAGCCGCCGUAA